GAAUUCCUUACAGCAAUGAUUUAAACAAUUAGUUAUGAAAAUCGGGUUCUG
rnacentral:other from 1 species